AAAAAAAAUCUCAGGUAGUUUUAAGAAAAAAUAAUCAGUGAAUCUAAGCCAUCAGCCCUUAAAUGAGUAGUAGAUACCUUUCUACAUACUUUACAGUAUACUUGCUAAAUCAAGGACUGCUGGAACCAUAAAGAACAGGUGAUCUGAAGAUUUUACAGCUAGAAACCGGAGCUAGAAAAUCCAGAGAAUUCAAGCUGUGUUGUUUUAAACAUGGUGGUAUCUUGAGCUACACUUAAAAGCUGAUUACAGUUAACUGAAUUCCCGGAUUGUAAUUUAUUUCAGAAGGUGUUUCUCCAGUAUCCAGUGUCUUCAACAAACGAAAAAGGCCAGCAGCUUCUCGUAUCCUACUGAACUCAAUACAGAAUGCCUGCACUUCUAUAAACAAGUCCUGCACAUUAAUAAUUUUGUUACGGAUCAAGGACUGGAGAAAGACACACACAAGACGCACCAAACGAUUCUGGGGGGGAAAAAAAAUAAGUUAGUGUACCCGUUUUCUUGGCAGAAUAAAAUGACCAAAGCUGGAAAAGCAGAACAAAGAUCCAGAGAGCCAAGACUCCUUGGAUCUAAAACACUUCCUACUGCUGGCUCCUGUUGACAGGAUCAUUUAUUGUUUAUCAUGUGGAAUAUUAAAGACAAAAUGUUUACAAUAAA